GAUGAACGCUAGCGGCAGGCCUAACACAUGCAAGUCAGGGGUAACAUGAAAAGCUUGCUUUUCUGAUGACGACCGGCGCACGGGUGCGUAACGCGUAUACAACCUACCUUUUAGCGGGGAAUAGCCCAGGGAAACUUGGAUUAAUGCCCCAUAGUAUAUAGACUUCUCCUGAAGUUUAUAUUUAAACAUUUAUGGCUAUUAGAUGGGUAUGCGUCCUAUUAGUUAGUUGGUAAGGUAACGGCUUACCAAGGCAGCGAUAGGUAGGGGUCCUGAGAGGGAGAUCCCCACACUGGUACUGAGACACGGACCAGACUCCUACGGGAGGCAGCAGUGAGGAAUAUUGGACAAUGGGCGAGAGCCUGAUCCAGCCAUGCCGCGUGCAGGAAGACUGCCCUAUGGGUUGUAAACUGCUUUUACAGAGGAAGAACCACCCCCACGUGUGGGGGUUUGACGGUACUCUGCGAAUAAGGAUCGGCUAACUCCGUG
rnacentral:rRNA from 1 species